AGAACCUGAUACGGGGCUCAAACUCACGAACCGCGAGAUCAUGACCUGAACUGAAGUCAGACGCUUAACUGACUAAGACACCCAGACGCUCCCAUAAAGACAAUAUUUUCAAAGAAGAUUUGGCAACAGAGCCUUGAUAAAAUGUCAAGUUCAAAGGUAAGAUGGGGACUCGUCCAAUCAUGAUAACUCAGAACUGCCCGGUGUUUUCUACGCAUCUGGCUGGUACGGACGUGACAUAUAUAUCACCUCACUUAAACCCCUAGCAACCCUAUGAGGCAGACUCUAUGAUUCUAAUUUUGCAGGUGAAAGAAUGUGCACAGGAAGCAAUUUGUUCAGGUUAUAGAGCCAGUGAGCGGUGGGACCAGGUUUCAGACCUGGAGUCAGGCUCCGGAGGCCACGCUUGUAACCUUGACCCACACAGCCUCUCACUGCCUGUGGGGCAGGAGCCCACAGGGCGGUGCGUGUGUGUGUGUGUGUGUGUGUGUGUGUAGUUUUGGUGAAACCUCCAAAAGAGUGUUAGUGGUUAUGCCUGGGUGGUGGUUUGUAUUUUCUUCUUUACCUCUUUUUGCUAUUUCCUCAAGCAUUUGCAGCGAGCAGUACUUUUAAGGAGCCAGUGAUGAAAGGCGACAGCAGCAGUUUCCCGAAAUUACAGGUAGAGGGUGAUCGCUUUAAUCUACUUUGGGAACCAGGAGAUAUAUAAAAACGUUUCAAGACAGCAUGUGCCAACUGCAUGGCACAGAUGGAUUUAACCCAACCAGUAACCCUGACAGGAAGGAGGACACGUUCAAUUCAAUAAACCCAUAUACAGCAUCUACUUCUUCCUCCCGGCAUUGUCUCAGGGGUGGUCUGUGUGACCAACGGAAGUGAUGGUGUGUGACUUCUAAGACUGUGCCACAGAAGAUGUUGCCACUUCCCUUGCUGUUCUGUAGACCGCCUGAUGUGGGGGAAGCUAGGUGCCUUGUGGUGACGACACCCAGCAGCCUAGGGAUAGACCCGCGUGGGAAAGACCUGAAGCCUCCCGCCACGAGCCAGCGCCAACCUACUCCUGCUGUCUGUGUGAACCAGCCUUCUUGGAAGCUGAUCCGCUAGAACUGGGUCAGAGCUCCGGGUGACCGCAGUCCCAGCUGAUAUCCUGACUGGCACUUAGGCGAGACCUUGAGCCAGAACCGCUCAGCUAAGAGGCUCCUGAUUUUCUGACCCACGGUGACUGAGAGACAGUAGGUGUUCUCUUGAUGCUUCAAGGCUUUGGUUUUGGGAGUCGUUUCAUAGACAGCAAUAGACACACGUACAGAAACGAAGGCUUGGAGAAGAGUUUGGGAAGAGCCUUCGUUUUUAAGGCGCCAUACUUGUAUGCAAUGGGGGCGAUGUUUUUUUAAAGGCGUAAAAGAUGAUGAUGACUGUGAGGAUGGGUGUAACCUAAGUUGGCCAAAGGAGUGCCGGAGCAGGAAGAAAAUUUAAGAGGCCACCGCAGUCGUCCAGACGAGAGGUAAUGAGAGAGCGGAAGCGGAGGCACCGCUGGGGGACCGGAGAAUGGCACGUCCACGCAGGGGGGCGAAGGCGAAGAAGUCACGAAGGUGACUCCUGGGUUUUGAGCGCAGGAACACGGGGGAGCCAUGAUCUCAUUUACCCAAAGAGGAAACACAGAAGGGAGCCCGCGUGGGUAGGAGUCAAGAAGUGGGGGUGUCUAUCUCCUGGCGAGGAGAGCUCUCUGCGUCCAGAGCUCCGCGGAGGGCUGGCCACCAAGGCUCCUUCACAGAUCGGGCUGGUCGAGAAGCCUCUCCCUGAAGGACGAGGCUGUUCCAUUUCACCGCACAUCUUCCCCACUGCCAAGUGUUCCCUGGUGACAGCCUCUGCCAUCGGUAUUUUUAGCAUGUGGCCUUUCUGAGCCUGAAAAACAACAUCCACUUCCUGGAACUUCUCCUCCAGCUGACAGCCAGUGACCCACGCGGGCGGGAGCUUCAGCUGGGCCUGACGGGCGACAGUCUGCCAAUCUGCUAGGGGAGAGGAAGGCAGGCCGCAAGUUGGGCACGGAGGCCUCCACCCCGCUCCCUUCUGUCCUGCUCUUGAGGCCUAACGACGUCAGUGCACGUCAGAAGCUGAAAAGUGAGGAAGCCUGUGAAUAAAGCCCAAGAGGCAGGAAGCUUCUCCUGAAAUUUCCUUCUAUGACAGCUACAUCAAGUCUGAAGGCCUCCCUGUGCCCUGAGACGCAACGAUAUUGAAAUAAGGCCAGUGAGUCACCCGACAGCGGCCUUUAAGUGCUCAAAUGGAAGGAAGAGUCGUAUGUCUCUCACCUUAAAUGAAAAGCUAGAAAUGAUGAAGCUUCGUGAGAAACGUGUGUUGAAAGCCGAGACAGGCUGAAAGCGAGGUCUCUUGGGCCCAACCGGCAGCCGAGUUGCGAAUGAAAAAAGAAAGUUAUCGAAGGCCCUUAAAAGUGCGGCUCUAGUGACCACACAAAUAAGAAAGUGAAGCAGCCUUACUGCUGGUGUGGAGGAAGUCUGAGCGGUCUGGAUAGAAGGCCAAACCACAGCAUUCCCUGAAGCCAAAGCCUGAUCCAGAGCAAGGCUUAGCUCUCUGUAACGCUAUGAAAGCAGAGAGAGGUAAGGAAGCCACUCGAGUUUAAAACCAGCAGAGGUGGGUUCCGUGAGGUUUAAGGAAAGAGGCCGUCUCCGUAACAUGAAAGUACAGGGUGAAUCUGUAAGCACUCGUGUAGAAGCUACAGCAAGUUCUCCAGAAGAUCUGCCGAAGAUAAUUCAUGAAGGUGGCUACACUCCAGAACAGACUUUCAGUGUAGGCCAAAGUGCCUUCUGUUGGAAGAAGAUGCCACCGAGGACUUUCAGAGCUGGAGAGGAGAAGUCAAUGGCUGCCUUCAAAGCUUCAAAGGACAGGCUGACUCUCUCGUUAGGGGCCAGUGCAGCUGAUCACUUGAAGCUGAAGUCAAUGCACAUUGUCCAUUCCAAAAAUCCUGGGGCCCUUAAGAACUAUGCUAAAUCUGCUCUGUCUGUGCUCUAUAAGUGGAUCAGCAAAGCCUGGAGGACAGCACAUCUGUUUACAACAUGGCUUACUGAAUAUUUGAAGCUACUGUUGAGAUCUUCUGGUCAGAAAAAAAGAUACCUUCCAACAAUUCUGCUCACUGACAAUUCACCUGUCACUCAAGAGCUCUGAAGGAGUUGUACAAGGAGAUUAAUAUUUUUUUUGGAUUAAUGCUGUUUUCAGGCAUGCUAAUGCAACAUCCAUUCUAUAGCUCAUGAAUCGAGAAGUAACUUUGACUUAGGAGUCUUAAGAAAUACAUCUUGUAAGGCUAGAGCUGCCAUAAAUAGUGAUUUCUCUGAUGGAUCUGAGCAAAGUCCAUUGAAAAUCUUCUGGAAAGGAUUCACUAUUCUAGAUGCCAUUAAGAACAUUCAUGAUUCAUGGGAGGAGGUCAAAAUAUCAACACGCACAGGCGGUUGGCAGAAGUUGACUCCCACCCUCCUCUCAUCUCCCUGCCUAGUUCUGGGUUAGUGUGGACUACAGGAGGCAUUUGACAUGAAUUUGGAAGGUAGACGCGAACCAGCAGCCAUCUUUUUAUGCUUAGCAGUUAGGCAGGGCACAUGGCUCUCUGGCACACACAUUCUUGCCUAUCUGCUGGCUCAACCAGUUGACUUAGGGCAGUUGGCUGGGCCCUCAGUUCUUGCAGCUUGUUCUAGGAACUCCUUCAGCUUCUCUGACUGGACUGUGACGAGGCUACCAGAUUCUCUGGCAGAAAGCCGCAGUCAUUGAGGUUUGGGCUUAAAGUCGGUGUGUGAAAGAUAUGGGUUCCAGCCUGUCCUCGUGGUUUCCUCACAGAUUUUAGCGUCUGUCCAGUUCUUGCUUCCCCCGCUUCAUGUACCUCUCUACCUGCCCCUGUUUGCCUGUCGGCUUGCCCUUUUAGAUUUGAGGCUUCAGCACCAAAUGGAGAACCACUUGUUCUCCACCAAGUGGAGAACGGAAGCUGUGCAGUUAAGGGUUGAACUGUGUCCUCCAAAAGACCUGUUGAAGUCCUAACCUCCCGUACCUCAGAAUGUGACCUUGCUUGGUAAUGGGGUCGUUGCAAAUAUAAUGAAUUAAGAAAGGUCACACUGGGGUAGGUUUUUUUUUUAAUUUUUUUUUCAACGUUUUUUAUUUAUUUUUGGGACAGAGAG